GUCUUCGGACCUGUGACAUAUGAUAAAAUUGGAACGAUACAGAGAAGAUUAGCAUUGCCCCUGCAUAAGGAUGACAAACUCGAGACAGAGAGGGCCUUCGGGCUACUAUUUU
rnacentral:snRNA from 1 species